GUCCAAAAUGAAAGGACAAAAUGUCAGCACUUCCAUGAGGGUGGAAGAAGUCCGUCUGGCCUUUACAACACAAAAAUGGUUAUGCAUUGUCAUCUACUCAAUGGCAUCUAUCUUAUCAUAUUU